GUAGCAAAAUCAUUUGUUUUUUAAUUGGAAACUGGAAUGAAAGGUUGAACAAAUAAUUAUAAUUUUAAAUAAUUUAUUUAAAUUUAUAUUCUAUGUAAAAAUACAUAGAUAAAUAAAGGGACGAUAAGACCCUAAAAGCUUUAUUAAUAUAUUCUUAUUAUUGUUAAUAGUAUUAGAUAUAAGUUUUUUGGCUGGGGUAGCUGUUUUUGUAACAAAUAUUUUUAUUUACAUGUAGGAUGAAAGGUCCUUUAUAUAAGGGAUACUAGUGAAAGUUACUUUAGGGAUAACAGCAUAAUAAUUAUGAAAAGAUCGUAUUUAUAUAAUUGAUUGUGACCUCGAUGUUGAAUUAAAAUUAUCUUUAUGGAGCAGAAAUUAUAUAAGAGAGUUUGUUCAACUUUUAAAUUUUU
rnacentral:rRNA from 1 species